UGAGGAUUGGUGUAACUGGUAGCACAUGCGGCUUUGACCCGUACAGUACAGGAUCGUACCCUGUAUCCUCAGCCA
rnacentral:tRNA from 1 species